rnacentral:rRNA from 1 species
GGUUAAAAAGCUCGUAGUUGGAUUUCUGCUUGGGGUGGCCGAUGUGCCUUCUGGGUUACAGCCGGUUCAGCCUGAGCAUCUUUCUGGGAAUCGUGUCUGCACUUGAUUGUGUGGCACGGGUUCCAGGACUUUUACUUUGAGGAAAUUAGAGUGUUUCAAGCAGGCGUCCGCCUUGAAUACGUUAGCAUGGAAUAAUGCGACAGGACCUCGGUCCAUUUUGUUGGUUUCUUGGGUUGAGGUAAUGAUUAACAGGGAUGGUUGGGGGCAUUCGUAUUUAACUGUCAGAGGUGAAAUUCUUGGAUUUGUUAAAGACGAACUACUGCGAAAGCAUUUGCCAAGGAUGUUUUCAUUGAUCAGAACAAAGUUAGGGGAUCA